CCUACGGGAGGCAGCAGUAGGGAAUAUUGCUCAAUGGGCGUAACCCUGAACCAGCCACGCCGCGUGGAGGAUGAAGGUUCUCUGAUUGUUAACCCCCUUUUUUAGAGAAGUUAAUGACGGUAUCUAACGAAUAUUCACCGUCUAACUUCGUUCCAGCAGCCGCGGUAAUACGGAGGGUGCAAGCGUUACUCGGAAUCACUGGGCGUAAAGCGCGCGUAGGCGGGAUAGUAAGUCAGAUGUGAAAUCCUAUGGCUUAACCAUAGAACUGCAGUUGAAACUGUUAUGCUAGAGUAUGGGAGAGGUAGGUGGAAUUCGUGGUGUAGCGGUAAAAUCCGUAGAGAUCAAGAAGAAUACUGAUUGCGAAGGCAGCCUGCUAGAACAUAACUGACGCUGAUGCGCGAAAGCGUGGGGAGCAAACAGGAUUAGAUACCCUAGUAGUC
rnacentral:rRNA from 1 species